rnacentral:lncRNA from 1 species
UAAAAAAAUUAAAGGUCAAACAUUUGUUUCACUAUUUAGGUUUAGAGUUCAAUUGCUUUUAUUAGCAUUUUUUUUUUUUUGUUUUCUUUUUUGUAGCUUAUACAUUUUGUUUUUAAAUCAUGAGAUAAUUUUCAGCACCAAUUUAAGUGUAAUGUUUGUACCAUUUUCAAGUUAAUCAUAUUUUAAAACAAACUACAGUCUAUCUG